CGGGGAGUGGCGCAGCCUGGUAGCGCACGUGCUUUGGGUGCACGAGGCCGGGGGUUCGAAUCCCCCCUCCCCGA
rnacentral:tRNA from 1 species